rnacentral:misc_RNA from 1 species
GAUGAAGAACGUAGCGAAAUGCGAUAAGUAGUGUGAAUUGCAGAAUUUAGUGAAUCAUCGAAUCUUUGAACGCACAUUGCGCCCGCCAGUACUCUGGCGGGCAUGCCUGUUCGAGCGUCAUUUCAACCCUCAAGCCCUGCUUGGUGUUGGGGACCGGCUCCCGGGGGCCCGCCUCGCGCGGGCGCCCCUGCCGCCCCCUAAAUCGAUCGGCGGCCACGACGCGGCCCCCCCUGCGCAGUAACAUACCACCUCGCAGGCGGGAGCACGCCGCGGCCACUGCCGUAAAACGCCCAACUUCUCAAGAGUUGACCUCGAAUCAGGUAGGAAUACCCGCUGAACUUAAGCAUAUCAAUAAGCGGAGGA